rnacentral:rRNA from 1 species
AAUUGUUCGCAAUGGGCGCAAGCCUGACGACGCAACGCCGCGUGGAGGAUGAAGGUCUUCGGAUUGUAAACUCCUGUUGCCCGGGACGAAUAGCGUCGACCUAACACGUCGACGUCUGACGGUACCGGGUGAGGAAGCCCCGGCUAACUACGUGCCAGCAGCCGCGGUAAGACGUAGGGGGCAAGCGUUAUCCGGAUUCACUGGGCGUAAAGGGCGCGUAGGCGGUUACGUAAGUCCGGCGUGAAAACUCACGGCUCAACCGUGAAACGCCGUCGGAUACUGCGUUGACUAGAGGGCGGUAGAGGUACCUGGAACUAGCGGUGUAGCGGUGAAAUGCGCAGAUAUCGCUAGGAACGCCGGUGGCGAAGGCGAGGUACUGGGCCGUUCCUGACGCUGAGGCGCGAAAGCUAGGGGAGCGAAC